UACGGAGGGUGCAAGCGUUAAUCGGAAUUACUGGGCGUAAAGCGCGCGUAGGCGGCUUGUUAAGCUAGAUGUGAAAGCCCCGGGCUCAACCUGGGAACUGCAUUUAGAACUGGCAAGCUAGAGUAUGGCAGAGGAGUGUGGAAUUUCCGGUGUAGCGGUGAAAUGCGUAGAGAUCGGAAGGAACACCAGUGGCGAAGGCGACACUCUGGGCCAAUACUGACGCUGAGGUGCGAAAGCUUGGGUCACGAACAGG
rnacentral:misc_RNA from 1 species